rnacentral:rRNA from 1 species
CUUUUAGAGAUAAGAGGGUGCUAGCUUGCUAGAACUUAGAGACAGGUGCUGCACGGCUGUCGUCAGCUCGUGUCGUGAGAUGUUGGGUUAAGUCCCGCAACGAGCGCAACCCACGUAUUUAGUUGCUAACGGUUCGGCCGAGCACUCUAAAUAGACUGCCUUCGUAAGGAGGAGGAAGGUGUGGACGACGUCAAGUCAUCAUGGCCCUUAUGCCCAGGGCGACACACGUGCUACAAUGGCAUAUACAAUGAGACGCAAUACCGCGAGGUGGAGCAAAUCUAUAAAAUAUGUCCCAGUUCGGAUUGUUCUCUGCAACUCGAGAGCAUGAAGCCGGAAUCGCUAGUAAUCGUAGAUCAGCCAUGCUACGGUGAAUACGUUCCCGGGUCUUGUACUCACCGCCCGUCACACCAUGGGAGUUGAUUUCACUCGAAGCCGGAAUACUAAACUAGUUACCGUCCACAGUGGAAUCAGCGACUGGGGUGAAGUCGUAACAAGGUAACCGUAGGAGAACCUGCGGUUGGAUCACCUCCUUUCUAG